UGCAACUUUUACUUUGUUCGUCUACUAGUCGUUGAGGCGCUGUUGUGAAAUUGCUUUUUGCUUCUUCCCUAUACGUGUCAGACUUCGGUGAGAUGCAGGGGGAGUGAAAUCGAUUUCUUGAAUCAUGAAGUUACAACUUCUUUUCUGUUCUUCUUCUUCUUGACACUUUUUCUUUUACCAAGAAUUGUUGAAUGCAAGAAUUCAAUGAAUCCCAGAGGACGAAUUCAACUGAAAAUCGAAAGAUCAAGAUUCAGGGUUUGCAAUUGCGAGUACAUUGUGCCGCAUGGUUUCAUGGUCGGAUGAAAUAACAGUGAAUUAAAUAUGAUAUUGCUGGUGCCUUGUGGUUCUAUUACAAAAAUGAAGGAAAUAUUCUAUUGUCAGGCUCCAGUGCCUCUACAACUUCUGGGAAAAAUGAAGAAGAUGGCACUUUCAUUGUAUCCCCAGGUGUGCAGGCCGUGGAUUGGUUUGUAAUCUUGGUGUUUGGCUGAUCUUCCCAUGAUUGGGAUGGGAAAGAAUAGAAGUUUUAACAACAUAUAACUGCUGGUCUUUAAUGCUUCCAUGUCUCUUUGCGAUUGUAUAUGGUACUACAAUUUCUUUCUACGUCCGAGGCUAAUUUUACAGAAUGGCUCAGCAGACUGUUUGAGUUUGAAUUAGUUGAGGAUUCCCUUGUUUUGGAGAGCGAUGGACAAUCAUGAUUUCUCUUCGGAUUAGCUGCAUUAGAGCGCCUGAUAAUAUUCACAGGAUGCAGAAGUUUUCUCAUCGUGGGACAUUGCUGGGAAGCCGGUUAGCACCAUUAUCCACUUAUGGCCAUCUAAAACAUUAAAGGUUGACAUCAGAUCGAAAGAUUGCGAUUGGAAGUCGACAUACUUGAGGGAAAUGGCUUUCCGUAUAACACCUGACGCUAUUGAAGACGAUCUCAAGUCUCAACACAAGAGCUUUUCCUAAUUGUACGCACCAGUAUCCACCUGAUGAGUUCAAGUGAUUCUGAAUACAGAGGCUCUCGAUGACAAAUGAGGAGUCUUGCCUACUGUAAAUUAGAAUAUUUUGUUAGUAUUUUAUAGCUU